CUCUUCCUCCUCCAGGCCACUUGGCCAGAUGGUGCGCUCUUUCUUUUGUUUACCCAUCGGCCCCAGGUUGACCUGAGCGCCCGUAGCGACAGAGGCAUGGCCGGGCCCCCGCAGCCCCUCCGCACGCUGCCCGGUUACCUGUCUGGAGGACUGUGACAGGAUGGGGCUGCUGACUGGACGGUGUCAGAUCUGAGGCCUGCUUUACACCCAUCUGCUGCAUUUGGAGCCGCCGCUCUGUUUUUCGAAGCUGCCUGACAGAUGAAAGGCUCAGAGCGUCUCUGUCAGUAAAGACAAACUAGAGCUCCCCCCAGGACAAAAGGGGGAUUCCUGGUACCAUGUCUUGGCAGGUGGAGGGGUCAUCCAAGAGGCGCCCCUGUGGCGGAGCUGGACUCAACCUGCCGUCCUCCUCGUCCACACAGCAUGGUCGUAUUCACACGGUGGAGGUUGCGAGGGGGAGGACAGGCUACGGCUUCACCCUGACAGGUCAGAGUCCGUGUGUCCUCAGCUGCAUCCUUAAAGGCAGCCCCGCAGACUACGUGGGGUUGCAUUCAGGAGACUAUAUCCUCGCCGUCAACGACAUAAAUGUCUCCAAGGCGUCCCACGAGGACGUUGUGAAGCUGAUUGGACGUUGCUCUGGCGUCCUGAAGCUUGUCAUCUCAGAGGGAGACUGCAACUGGCGACACCACCGGCGUACCUCUGGAGGACGCCACCAAAGCAGCAACACGGCGGCAGCGUCCUACCUGGACUCCUGCUCGAGUGACGAUGAGCUGGACGCGUUCUAUGAGUAUAGCAGCCACAGCAGGUCAGGCGGCGGGGCCCGCGCCGCGCGGGGCAAAGCCCCGAUGGAUUCAAAGCAGCUGGGCAUCAACAGAGCCGAGAAGGUGGUGGCGGAGCUGCAGUCUGGAGGAAUCUUUAACAUGAUCUUUGAGAACUCCAGCCACUCCUCCAGCAGCUCGGACAAGGACAGGCCUGGAGUCGGCUGCAAGUCCAACCCACGUCGCCUGUCCGAGCCGGAGUUUCCUCCGUUCCACUCUCGUUGCCAGAGCAACCCCAACCUUCUCUCCAAGGAGGAGAUGGCCCAUGUCCUGAAUGACGACUCCGUGUUCCUGGAGUCCGACGUUCGCCACCUCCACCUUCAGAACCACGACGAGGGAGACGUGGACGUGGAAGGAGGUGCCUUUGGUCUAGAACCUUGCGAAGACAUCGUCAACGUGGGAAUGAUCGCCGGCUAUCUGGGCUCGAUCGAGCUCGCCUCCACAGGAGCAAACUUAGAGAGUGACAGUUUGCAGGCCAUCAGAGGAAGCAUGAGGCGCCUCCGGGCCGAGCAGAAGAUCCACUCUCUGGUCCUCAUGAAGGUCAUGCAUGACAGUGUGUGCCUGUGCAGUGACAGGGGUCAGGUGCUGGCCACCUACCCUGCGGAAAAGCUGGCGUUCAGCGCCUGCUGUCCGGACGACCGGCGAUUUUUCGGGCUGGUCACCAUGCAAGCCACGGACGACAGUGGCCACUACAGCCACGGAGGAGACGAAGAGGGCGGGCUCAGGACCUCGUGUCACGUGUUCAUUGUGGACCCUGAACUCUGCCUCCAUCAGGUCCACGUGGGAGUGGCCCGGAGGUUCGGCUUCGAGUGCACCCCCGACCCAGACACUGGGGGGUGCCUUGAAUUCCCCCCCAGCUCCCAGCCCCUCCUCCAGUUCAUCUCUGUCCUGUACCGGGACAUGGGCGACAGCAUCGAGGGGGUCCGAGCCCGCGCCUUCCAGGACGCGGACAACGACGCCCAGCAGAACCACAGCACCAGCAGUAACAGCGACAGCGGCAUCGGGAACUUUCAGCCGGAGGAGAAGAGCAACCGGGUGCUUUUGGUUGACCUCGGAGGCCCCCACAGCCACAGCCACGUCCCCGGCAUGCGCCACUGGAACAGUCCACCUUCGUCCCAGCACGUUUGGGGCCCCGCCUUGGGGGCUGCGGCCUCUCUUCCGCCUCCCCCUCCCCCUCCCCUCCUGAGAAACGGUCACUACCUUCAUGACCCCCACCUGGCCGACCUCCCCCACCCUCUCCCCCUAGCUCACCCUGACGUCCCUGGCAGGCAAUUGCGAGGCAUCCACCCACACCACUACUCUGGGAAGCUGGGAGGAGCGGCUGGGGGCGGAGACAGGAGGGGUGGGGGAGGAGCCUCCGGCCAGGAUCCUCAGCGUUGGCUGCCGGUCCACGUGCUGAGAGACUGGCGCCAGCAGCACGGCCACCUGCCAGGCCCGAGCAGCGACCAGGAGUCCUACGCAGAGUCCACCGACGGAUGGUCCUCAGCCAACUGCAGCACCCUGCCCCCGCCCAUGAGCAAGAUCCCAGCCGACCGCUACCGGGCCCCCCUGGCCCCCGGAGACCACCUGCAGCCCCCGGGGGGCCAACACCCUCCUCAUCCACCUCACCCCCACCACCAGCGGCCGGUGGCGCAGAAAGAUGAGUGGGCCAAGAAGCUCUUCGGAGGCGGAGACCGUGAGCGGAGCCGAGGUCGGCGGGGCGACAGGGAGAAGAAACGGAGCUCCAAGGAGGGGGACAAAAAGGCUGGUCGUUUCCGAGGCUUGACGAUGGGUUUCCCUCCUCUCCAGCAGCGCUCCUCAACCAGACGCUCUUUUGGGCGCUCCAAACGUCUGAGCGUUGCUCGAUCCCUGGACGACUUGGAGUCUGCUGCAGUCUCUGACGGAGAGCUGAACAGCGCGGAGCUGCAGGGCUGCAGCAGCGACAGCCUCAACAGCAACGCCAGCCUCCCCAGCGUGCAGAGUCACCGGCGCCACACGGAGAGGAGGGUGGCCAGCUGGGCCGUCUGCUUCGAGAGGCUGCUGCAGGAUCCCGUGGGAAUCCGCUACUUCUCGGAGUUUCUAAAGAAAGAGUUCAGUGAGGAGAACAUUCUCUUCUGGCAGGCCUGUGAGUUCUUCAGCCACUUACCUGAGAAUGAUGCCAAACAGCUCACUCAGCGGGCCAGAGAGAUCUACAACAGCUUCCUGUCCAGCAAGGCCACCACGCCGGUCAACAUCGACAGCCAGGCGCAGCUUGCAGAUGACAUCCUCAAUGCGCCAAAGCCCGACAUGUUCAAGGAGCAGCAACUGCAGAUUUUCAACCUGAUGAAGUUCGACAGCUACACCCGCUUCCUGAAGUCCCUGCUGUACCAGGAGUGCAUGGUGGCGGAGGUGGAGGGCAGGCCGCUCCCCGAUCCGUAUCACGUCCCCAGCAGCCCCACCUCCAAGCACAGCACCACCGGCUCCGACCGCUCCAACCUCUCCACGCCCAAGAAGGAGGACAAACCCAAGAGCAAAUCCGGUCGGUCGUUGAACGAAGACAGCAGGGAGGACUCCGGAGACCGCCGGAGAGGCAUGUUCUUUUCAUGGUCCCGCAACAGGAGCUUCGGAAAGGGCCCCAAGAAAAGAGAGCUGGCGGACUUCAACUACAAUUUCCCCGGCAGUAACGGCCGCCGCGAGUCUCAGGGCUCGCUGUCGUCAGGAGCCAGUCUGGAACUGGGAACGUCGGCUUCAGGGAAGAACGAGGGUGGUGGAACAUCAGAGCAGGGGGGAAGCAGCGCCCCCUUGAGGCAGUGUAGCAUAAGCCUGCCGGAUGGCUCCUGUUGCUCCGUGCCGCUCAGGGCCGGGGUGUCCAUCAGGGACCUGCUGCAGGGGCUCUGCGAGAAGCUGUGCAUCAGCCUGGCAGCUGUGGACCUCUUCCUGGUGGGAGGGGAGAAGCCACUAGUUUUGGAUCAAGACUGCAUGACACUCUGUUCAAGAGACCUGAGAUUGGAAAAACGGACCCUGUUCAGACUUGACCUGGUCCCCAUCAAUCGCUCGGUGGGUCUAAAAGCCAAGCCAACAAAGCCGGUGACGGAGGUCCUCAGGCCUGUGGUGGCCAAGUACGGCCUGCACCUGUCCGGCUUGGUGGCCCGGAUCAGCGGCGAGUCGGAACCCUUGGAUCUGGGUCUGCCCAUUUCUAACCUGGAUGGACUUCGAGUGGUUCUAGAUGUUGCAGAAAAUGCUGUUGGAAAAGUAGCAGACAAGCAGAAAGCGGUUUCCCCCAGGAGUCUCCUCCCAGCCUCUGCAGGCAGAAACCAGUCCGCACCAGGGGACGACAGGUCACCAAGGAAAGCUGGUCCUGCUCACCCACAUGGGGAAGACGGCAAGGCUUUGCCCAGCAUUGAGUCGAGCCGCCAGCCCUUCCCCAACCACUCUGUGCCUCUGCAUAAGGCUCCGGAGAAAAGAAAGCAGAAAAAGAUUAACAUAGACGAAGCCGAAGGCAAGGACGGGGCUGGAUGGAGGGGAAGGGAUAAAGGGGGAGGCGGGUUCAAAACGCCCGGCAGACGUCCUUCCAAUCCUGUCCCAUGGUCCCCUCCCCCUCCUCCCCCGCGACCCCCUCUUCGCUCCCGACGGAAAUCCAAGUCGCCGUCCUCCCGCCCCGGCCACUCGACCCCAAAACAAGCCUUGGAUCUGGACAGACUUGGAGGCGGGCCGGAUCCAGGAGACGACGGGCAGCCUCGAUCGGGCAGACGAGACCUUCGGGGGGGGGUCCAGCGCUCCGAGCUGGACAGGAGGUGGGAGGGUGUUGCCAUGGAGCUGCAGAGCCGGGGCAGCAGGAUGAGGUCAGCCGUGUAUCAGACCUCAGACUUGCCCUCCAUGGUCAAAGCCAGGAGGGAGCUGGACCCUCGUGAGGGCAGAGCUCAGACAGCUCGCAGUAAACUCAAAGCCACUUUUGUUUAGGAAGCGUGACGUUUCGUGGCUGUCCGGCAUCUGCUGAAGGUAAAACCCUGCAGAGGUCAAGGACGCAGCCCGUGUCAAAAGGGGGGAGCUUCAUCAGAGGGUCUUCCUCCUGGUUGGAAGUUCACAUUCAUCUUCACAGGAAGUUUGUUUUCUUCAUCUGGCAGCUGGGGGUGGCUAUAGAUGGCAGAUUCACAGAUGCCCCGCCCCCUGCACUGAUGAACACUGUUUUCUGGUCUUCAGGGUCUUAAAGUGUUGCCAAUGUGUGGGUUUACAAUUGGGUGAAAGGUCAUGAGGAACCCGGCGGAUCCAAGCGUUCAAAAGUGUCCCGGGGACAUGAGGAGGACCGGAUGAUCAGGAAGAGGUAAACGGGUGCGGAGGCUCAGAAACCAUCACCACCAAAAGCCCCUUUGUGGAGGCAACUGCUCAUUUCAACUGACAGUAUUGUUAGCUUGCCAGUGUCAUAUGUAGACCUUAUGCCUCCGUCCCAACUGCCUUUACGAGUGGAUCUGGGCUGUCACACCUGUACGGGAACGCAGGUGGUCUGCAUGAUAUUUUAAGGUCUGAGACUGCUCCGCGAAGCGGCUGAGAGAAAUGGUGAUGCACAUUUUUCUAUGAGCAUGCUGAAGGUGACAGGUUGUACUGAACACGUAUACAACAACCCUUAAAUCCUGUGGACUUGAUAAGUGCGCUCUUUGCUGCAGCCUGACUGUUAGAAAGGAGGAAAUUAGACAAUUAGGUGUCUUACGACCCUAAUUCAUGGGGUGUGCGUGUCACGUGCACACCCCGUCCGUGUAGCAUUUGCAUUUUGCAACUUACUAAGAACUACAGAAGUUCACCCCUUACAAAGGCUUAGCCCCUCCCACAGGCCAAUUCACCAAACUCUUCUUUAAAAGAAAUUACUGUCUUGCAACCUGAAGGAUUCUUAAACAACUCCAAAAUUACAGAUAUUUAACAAAAGAAAGGAUAGUAACAAUUGAAAGACAGAAAUAGGUUUGAAACAAAAUCAAUUAGACAGAAAGCGAGAUAAAGCAAAAAACAACUCUGACGUGAGGUCACUUCCUGUUUCCGGUGGAUAUUUAUGCUGAUGUGUGCAAUGCUCUGGUUUGUGGAGGGAAACUUAGAUGGGGAGUAAGAGUCUGUUUAAAACCAAGUGUGCAGCCUUAGAACGACAUUAAAUAUGAAAAGUGAAUGAUUUGUUUGCCUGGGUGUGUGCAUGUAUCCGGUGAAUACUAUAAACUGCUACUGGGCUGGGAGAAAAGAGACAAAACAAACAGCCGAGGCUGGCGACCUGUGACGCUACGUCGUCACAGUGGCGUUAAGACACUGACGACAGCUUCACCCUUACAUCGGAAGCUUGUGUAGCUUCCAUUAGCCUUACCAAUACUUCACACUUACCGCACGCAUGGUACGUUCCAUGCUCAUGACGUCCCUUGAAGUAGGGACCACAAGCCACACAAUUCUAAGGUCCAGAGAUAAAGGUUGGUGACCACAAACAAUAGAGCUGCCAAUUCUGAAAACAGAACUAAACAAAAUAGCCCAAUAGACCCUAAAAUUUAGCAAGUUAUUAAUAUUUUACAUCUUGCGGAUCACCUUUGUUUUGUGGCUAGAAAACAAUGGGAAAACUUGGUAAUCACAGGCAGAUACAUCAAGGAUUUUUGCUCUUUUUCGAUACCCUAUCUGUGCUCUAAACACCAUCAGUUUGUUACUGAUACAUUGUAAAAGUGAUCCUGAAGUUUUUCAUAUUUCGUUAGAAGAUUGUUCAUUUAGUGUUAUUACAUGCUUCACAUCCUCUGAGUGCUGUUUAUUAUGUUGUAUUAAGGGCUUGAACCCGCACCGACCGCUCCUUACCGAGUUUAUGUAUAUUAUUCGUCAUGAUGUGACAUGUCAGACUCGGUUCUGCGACCGCGCGUUUCACCAAGUUUGCACAAUGUUUAGGGGGUGGUUUGGGGACCUAAUUUACCAUGUGCCUUUCACAAAGCUGUGAAUUUGAUCCAAAGUUGUGAGAAAUCUGCCGUUGGCUCACAAAUAUCUGCUAAGUCCACUUUACCUUUCUCCAAAUAAAAAUCAAAGUAUGAGCUACCCCAGGAAGCAUUGCGACGCAUGUUUUAACGCCAAACAUUUUCCAAUGCGGAAACUAAGUUCUUCAACGGUGAAGUGAACAGGUGCAAACGGCAUGCGCGGUGACACCCUUUGCGGUUUCUACAUGAGGUGGCCAUACGAGCCUCGAGGGAACUGCGAGACACACCUGUGCUCCCCUUAUGAUGCAGCUGCUCCUCUCUGCGACCCGCUAUGGUCCCGAAACAACCCCCAAACCCACAGCACCUGUACAGGUCAACCCCCAUACGGGUGCAAAUGACUAAGGUGUGAACAGAGCUCUUACUGGACUUUUGUCUCUGUAUGUCAGGAAUUUUUUUUUUGUGGAAGUUUCUUAAUGUUUUUUGGAUUGGUUAAAAAAAGCAGAAUAAAUUGUCUUUUUUUUUGUCUGCAGUUUUCUUUUAUAAAAGUCACAUUUCAUUAUUUAGCCACACAUUUGACCAACCACUGUCUGCCUCGCCUUCAUCCACCAAGCCUCAGAUCUCUGUUCCGUCUUUUUAAAAACAUACAUAAAUACCAGAAUUAGCUAAGCAAGUUAGCAGUACACUAAUGUUGACAGCAAUAUAAUAACAAACAUGACAUUAUAUCAAAGCUAAGUGUCAAAAUUAGCUUAAAAAAUAUCAAUAGCUAAACUUAUCUAAAUUAUCUAGUUAUAGAUUUAAAUUUCUAUUGAAUGUGUAUUUUGAGGAGCAAUGGAUGGAUAUGCAAGUUCCCUCGGGAUUAAUAAAAUUGUCUGUCUGUCUGUCUAUCUAAUUUGUCACGGUUCCGCCGUCAGCUGCCUCCCUCCUCCCUGCUCCUCAUUGGAACCAGCUGCACCUCAUCACCUCAUCACCAGCAGACCUUCUUAAGGAGAUCCAUCCCAGCAUACUACGCCAGUCCGUUACACUCUCUCCGGUGCCUACGCCUGGUCUCUAGUUAAGUCCAGUUUUGCCAAGUUAAGCCACGUACUUACCUUGCCUUAUUCUACGCCUUCAGGUCCGCUCCUCCACGGGUGCCGCUGGUUCUUCCUCGUCACCGGCUGUCUACGCCGUCCUCGGCGCCUCCACUCGCUCCAAGCUGUGCUCGCCGUCCUCGGCGCUCCACCUCGUCACAGGCUGUCUACGCCGUCCUCGGCGCCUCCACUCGCUCCAAGCUGUGCUCGCCGUCCUCGGCGCUCCACCUCGUCACAGGCUGUCUACGUUGUCCCUGACAUUCCUCCUCGUCCACGACUCGCAUCACCCUCAGAUUAAAUCUUCUGACUCUGCCUCGUCUCCUGAGUUUCUUCCGGGUUCCAGCAACUGGGUCUCCAUAGUGUUUGACCAUGACAGAACGGACUGGCCAUAGCCCAGACCCAGCUGACCCGGAAGGACUCCGCUUCGCAGUCACGCAGCAGGGGAUUGCUCUGGGACGCCAAGCGGAAUCACUGAACCAGAUGGCCACCGUCCAGCAGGAUCUUUUCCGUCGGCUGGAUGGAAUAUCUCAUGCCCUAAUGGACCUUACCGGUCAGCAAUCUUCCAUCGCCGCAGCCAGCACCUCCUUCUCCGCCACCGGAAGUCCGGGCCCCGCUAUCGCUAACGCAGCUAACGAAAACAUCCGGCUUCAACCCGAGGUCUUCCAUGGUGACGUCAAAGCAUGCGGGGGUUUCCUCCUACAAUGUCGGCUAAUUUUCCAGCAGGCUCCGCGACAUUACCACGCCGAUCAAAGCAAAAUAACCCUCAUCGUGAACUCUCUUAGGGGUAAGGCGCUCCAAUGGGCGCAGGCUUUUCUUACUGCCAAUCCCAUACACCAGGUCCCAUUCGAGCGUUUCAUAAAUGAGUUUUGUCUGGUGUUCGACCAGCCCCGCAAGGAGGAAGAAGCUACUCGCCGAUUACUAGCUCUCAGGCAACGCAGCAGAUCAGUGAGUGACCAUUUAAUUGACUUUCGUAUCCUGGCGGUGGAGGCAGGUUGGCCGGACAUCGCUCUUAAAGGGGUGUUUUACCAAUCUCUCAAUGACUCCAUCAAGGAUCAUUUAUGUUCUCAGCCCGAAGCCAAGACUUUUGAGGAGCUCGUCACCGCGGCCUUGCGGUCUGACGUUCGCCUCCGAGAACGCCAGGCUGAGCGUCCCCACUAUCAAAAGAAAACGGUGGUCAAACUCCUGCCUCUGACAUCAAGCACUGAAUCUCUCCAUCCCGUUUCUCAUGAACAGGUCAGAGGACCCCCGGAGGAACCUAUGCAAAUAGGACACUCCAAACUUACACCUGAGGAGCGGCAGAGACGUAGAGACGAAGGUACCUGUUUUUACUGUGGACAGUCGGGUCAUCUCGUUCACCAGUGUACCUUACGUUUAAACGCCAAGACCCCCCGCUAGACGACAGGCCGCGGGCGGGUCACCCUCCUCUCACCACUGAGAACACCUUUUUGUACAUCCCUGUCAAGCUAUGUAACCUUUCAAGAACCCAUGUUUGCAAGGCUCUCAUUGAUUCUGGUUCCGAACAGAGUUUUAUUGAUAACCAUCUGGUCUCUGAGCUCAAUCUUCCUACAGAACCGUUGGAACAUCCCGUCAAGGCGGCUGGACUAGGAGGCCAACUCCUUACUCACAUCACCCACCGCACCAAGCCCGUUCAACUAAUCUCUUCUGGUAACCAUCAUGAAUUCAUGCAGUUUUAUGUCACUCAAUCCCCCCAAUCUCCGGUCAUCCUAGGUUUUCCCUGGCUGUGCGCUCAUAACCCGCAGUUUGACUGGGUUAACCGGCACAUCACCAACUGGAGUACUGCCUGUAUGGCUAAUUGCCUUCGCUCCGCCAUUCCUUCAGUUCCCACAAGUCACUGUCCUACUCCGGAGGUCAUCGACCUUUCCAAGGUCCGCUCCUCCACGGGUGCCGCUGGUUCUUCCUCGUCACCGGCUGUCUACGCCGUCCUCGGCGCCUCCACUCGCUCCAAGCUGUGCUCGCCGUCCUCGGCGCUCCACCUCGUCACAGGCUGUCUACGCCGUCCUCGGCGCCUCCACUCGCUCCAAGCUGUGCUCGCCGUCCUCGGCGCUCCACCUCGUCACAGGCUGUCUACGUUGUCCCUGACAUUCCUCCUCGUCCACGACUCGCAUCACCCUCAGAUUAAAUCUUCUGACUCUG